CCAGCUCCAACGGCUGCAGAGUCUUGAGCAACGUCAUCUCGACGUGCCAGAGAAGUGGUAUAAAAGUCCUGCUCUCUCUCGGUGGUGGUUCCAACUCAGCUACAAGUAUGUCCUCUCCGGCUGAUGCAAGGCAAGUAGCUACUUACCUCUACAACAACUUUUUGGGUGGACAAUCAGCUUCUAGACCUUUCGGGAGCGCCAUUUUGGAUGGCAUAGACUUUGACAUCGAACAAGGUUCAAGUCUUUACUAUGAUGAUCUUGCGCGAGCUCUAUCAGGGUUCAGCACGCCACAGAGGAAAGUUUAUUUAUCAGCAGCACCGCAAUGUCCAAUCCCUGAUGCUAAACUAGAUGCUGCAAUAAAAACAGGACUUUUCGACUACGUUUGGAUACAGUUUUACAACAACCCUCAGUGUCAUUACACAGGCACGGCGACUAAUCUUUUGGCCAGGUGGAGGCAAUGGGCUGCUGCACUUCCUUCCCGCAGUCAGAUCUUUCUUGGAUUACCGGCAGCUUCUGCAGCAGCGCCUAGCGGUGGUUACAUUUCCCCUAGUGCAUUAAUCUCUCAGGUUCUUCCAACUAUCAAGAGGACUCCAAAGUAUGGGGGAAUCAUGCUGUGGAAUAAGCUGUAUGAUAAAACUUUCAGUUCUGCUAUCAAGAACAGCAUCUAAUGUAUUCAACCGACUAGGGAAAGGCAAGUACUACUACANGGAAAGACAAGUACUACUACAAAUCAAUAAAUCUGAAUGUAAUCCUGCCUUGAGUUUCGAAUAAGAUAUUUCUUAGUCAGAUGACCAUCAAAGUUAGGAUUGUUGAUCCAGAACUCGUUUGAUAGACACAAAAAUUUCUAUUUGACUUCAAAGAAUACAAAAUCCGAAAAUAACAGCAACUUCUGACCAUAAACCUGAAUAGCUCAGAAUGGUUCUUUCACUAAAAUUUUAUCCAAGUUUAUAUAUGUUGGUCAGCAAAUUUUAUUUAGUGCUAAAAGUACACAAUCUUGACGUCGUUACAAACACAAUUAAGACAAACGCAGCAUCUUAACCCCUAAUUAAAGUAGACACUGAAUUGGUUGUAGAUAUUUAUAAAAUGCUUGCAAGUCUCAAACUCAGAAGAAAAAAAACUAAGAACUGGCUGGUUUGAUCUUUUGUCUUAGAACGAGUCAUUGCCUUGAUGAAGUCGCGAUGCAACUACAAAGAGGAUUGACACAUGCAGCCAAAAAAUAAUAAGAAGAAAGCUAUCUGAAGCUGUUACAAACACUAUCACCGGAUAUGGCAGCAGCCGGUCCAGAACUAUCGAUUAUUAUCAACAUGCUACUUGCGCUUUUUUCUGCUUUUAGGCAAAAUCCUAAAAUGAAUCAAUUUUCUACUCAUAGACCCUUUAGCGCCCACAUCCAAGUUAGACUCAAUCUCUCCCAGCGGAAAUAAACAACUAGUAGGAUGUUGUAUCAAUCACUUGUCAGGGAUCCGGACCUCACUAAAGAUUAAGCAAUAAAGACCGUAUUCCCAUGUACUUGAAUUCUUGAAUGCCUGAUGGAAGUAAGCAAGAUACAAGGAGAGAAGAGCAUGCUCAGAAGUUGAGGGAGGCUUGGAAGAGGAGGAUUAAUACCACUCGUUAAACAUAUUUUUUUUUUUCGAAUGUCAUUUGUGUAACCUAUUUCGGACCUAUAUACAGUAAUACUAAGUUCGGUAAAACAAAUAUAAAAUAUUCAUGUUAUGCUAAUAGUACGAGGGUUAGAUAUGAAUGUGAGAUGAUGAGUAAGGUUGCGUUCACUUGGAUGAAAUGAAAAAAAAUAUACAGAAGUUUUAUGGAGGAAGACAAUAAUGAUCGACUAAAUAUGAGUGAGCCUAAUUUUUCAUUACAUUGAUUGUAGAGAAACAUGACGUAGAAGUGGAAUGAGCAGUGUUCCUUUCAAAACAUUUGAGUUGGAUUUCUAGUUCAAAUAGUUGGAAUGGAAUGACUGAAUCAAUGAAAAUCAUGGAUAUUUUCUCUAAUCAUUGGAGUACAAAAUUCAUUUGAUUCUAUUCAAGUGAACGCAACUUAAGUAUGUCAUUGAUUUUAAUACUUAUUAAGAAUGAAUGAAGUUUAAAUCCUAGAACCAAAACAAGAUCCAGAAGUCUUAUUUUCGAAAUGGAAGACUGACUCGAAGUCUUGCCCUGAGGUCUACCAUCCCAAAUUUCUAACACUUAGCUAUACAAGUCGGUCACAAAAUACCAACUACUUGUCCAUGACAAACAGCUUUCGUGGAAGAUGCCCCCUUUGUUUUCAACACUCUCAUUUUCACAAAAUUCAACUCUUUUAAAGCUCUGUGCAAGUACUAUGAGUCCAAAACACCUCAUUCUCAGGCCUAUAAAAUGUCCAUUCAUUAGCAACUAUUACAUCAAACAAGUUCCACUUCCCCUCUAAACAUGGCAAGCAUUUCCCCGCUACUCUUCCUGCUCUUCCUUUCGUGCACUUUCACACUUUUCCAUUCCUCCCGAGGUGCUGGAAUCGCCAUCUACUGGGGACAGAGUGGCAAUGAAGGCACAUUGGCUUCCACCUGCGCCUCAGGAAACUACCAAUAUGUACUCAUUGCUUUCUUAACCACAUUUGGCAGUGGCCGAACCCCGGUCCUAAAUUUAGCUAGCCAUUGCACUCCCAGCUCUAAUGGCUGCACCGUUUUGAGCAACGUUAUCUCCACUUGCCAAAGCAAUGGUAUCAAGGUCCUGCUCUCUCUUGGCGGUGGUUCCAACUCAGCUACAAGCAUGUCCUCUCCGGCUGAUGCAAGGCAAGUAGCUACCUACCUCUACAACAACUUUUUAGGUGGACAAUCAGCUUCUAGACCUUUCGGGAGUGCCAUUUUAGAUGGCGUAGACUUUGACAUCGAACAAGGUUCAAGUCUUUACUAUGAUGAUCUUGCCCGAGCUCUUUCCGGGUUCAGCACACCACAGAGGAAAGUUUACUUAUCAGCAGCACCGCAAUGUCCAAUCCCUGAUGCUAAACUAGAUGCUGCAAUAAAAACAGGACUUUUCGACUACGUUUGGAUUCAGUUUUACAACAACCCACAGUGUCAUUACACAGGCACGGCUACUAAUCUUUUGGCAAGAUGGAAGCAAUGGGCUGCUGCACUUCCAUCCGGCAGUCAGAUCUUUCUUGGAUUACCGGCAGCUUCUGCAGCAGCGCCUAGCGGUGGUUAUAUUUCUCCAAGUGCAUUAAUCUCUCAGGUUCUUCCAACUAUAAAGACUACUCCAAGUUAUGGGGGGAUCAUGCUGUGGAAUAAGCUGUUUGAUAAAACUUUUAGUUCCGCAAUCAAGAACAGCAUUUAAUAUGUUUAAUCAACUAGCAACCUGGGAAAAUAAGCAGUAAUACUCUAUAUGAAAAUCGUCUUGUCAUCAAUAAAUCUGAAUGCACUUCAGGCUUGAGCUUUAAUCAAAUAUUUCUCUCAUCAAAUGGCCACUACGGUUAGGGUUGUCGAUCCAGCAUCUGAAUCAAUUUAAUAUAGAAAAAUUUAUAUUCUGAUUCAACUUCAGAGAUGCAAAAUCGGACAAUAACAGUUAUUUCUGACCAUUAACCUUACUGAAUGAGCUGCGGAUAUAUGUAAAAUGUGUGCAAGUAUUUAAUGCUAGAAAAAAAAAUGAAGAACAGGUUGGUCUAAUCUCAUGUUGUAGAAUGAGUCAGUCGCUAUGCAACUACAUUUGACAAUGAUUAACACAUGUUUUUUUUCUUUUUGAUAAUAAGGUGUGUGACGCGCAACUUAUCCUAGAGGGGCCUAGCAUAACAACCCAACUUACGCGUACCUCGACUUAACCCAAAAGGGCCUAGCACAACAACCCGGCUUAUGCGCACCUCAACUUAUCAUGGAGGGGCCUAGCACAACCAACCUCGAUCACAUUUUUUGCUACAGAUAAAUCAACAAAAAUUAUAUUGCUAUGUUACAAGCACAUUUUGUAGCAUACCAUUUAACAAUAGGCCUCAAGCAACUGAAGGCUACAAAUUAUAGUGAAAAAUAACUUUUAGUUUAUGGAUUGGAUAAAUUUAUUGAUAAUUCAUGAUCUAAUAUGUAUAAAAAUUAAUAAUAAUCAAAAUAAGUGAGGAAAAUAAGUUAGGAUUUUCAACUUCUCAGAUUCUAACUUAUAAAUUUACAUAAACAGUACUAAUAAGUCACAGGUCGGGUGAAAAAGUUACCCAAACAGGCCUAAGAAAUUCUCCAAGCCUAUAAACGCCUCUCAAUUUCGAAAUGCGGUGGAGGGCCUAAAUUCCAAAUGAAAGGCCGACUUUAAAGUCUUGUCCUCAGGUCUACUAUCCCGAAUUUGUAACUAUUAGCGAGACAAGCAAGUCACGGAAAGCCAAAUACAAGCUUGUCCUUGACGAACAGCUUUCGUGGAACACGCAUCCUUUGUUUUCCAUACUCUCAUUUACACAAAAUUCAACUCUUAUGUUCUAUCCAAGAACUUACAUUCAACUCCCUGCACUCUCAAUCCUAUAUAAUGACCAUUUAUCAGCAACUAUUACGUCAAGCAAUCCAAGCUCGCCCUCAAACAUGGCAAGCAUUUCUCAGGUCCUCUUUCUGCUCUUCCUCACAUUUGCUUUUCUCUUUUUCCAUUCUGCCCAAGGAGCUGGAAUUGCCGUCUACUGGGGACAGAACGGCAAUGAAGGCUCCUUGGAGUCCACUUGCGCAUCAGGCAACUAUAAGUAUGUACUCAUUGCUUUCUUAAUCACCUCUGGGAGUGGUCGAACACCGGCCCUAAACUUAGCUGGCCAUUGUGAUCCUGCCUCUAACGGCUGCACCUUCUUGAGCUCCCAGAUUUCUACUUGCCAGAGCAAUGGCAUCAAAGUCCUCCUCUCUCUUGGUGGCGGGCAAGGGUCGGAAACAAGCAUGUCUUCUCCGGCUGAUGCUAAGCAAGUAGCUAACUAUCUCUACAACAACUUCUUAGAUGGACAAUCAGCUUCUCGACCUUUCGGGUCUGCCAUUUUAGAUGGCGUAGACUUUGACAUCGAACACGGUUCCAGUCUUUACUAUGAUGAUCUAGCACGGGACCUCUCGGGUUUCAGCACACCACAGAG
rnacentral:lncRNA from 1 species